rfam:Triticum aestivum genome assembly, contig: Triticum_aestivum_CS42_TGACv1_scaffold_499608_6BL
CUAGUACUCCCUUCGUCCGGAAAUACUUGUCAUUAAAAUGAAUGAAAAUGGAUGUAUUCACAACUAAAAUACAUCUAGAUACAUCCAUUUUAAUAACAAGUAUUUCUGGACGGAGGAAGUAUUAG